rnacentral:rRNA from 1 species
GACGAACGCUGGCGGCGUGCUUAACACAUGCAAGUCGAACGGAAAGGCCCUGCUUUUGUGGGGUGCUCGAGUGGCGAACGGGUGAGUAACACGUGAGUAACCUGCCCUUGACUUUGGGAUAACUUCAGGAAACUGGGGCUAAUACCGGAUAGGAGCUCCUGCUGCAUGGGGGGGGUGGGAAAGUUUCGGCGGUUGGGGAUGGACUCGCGGCUUAUCAGCUGGUUGGUGGGGUAGUGGCUUACCAAGGCUUUGACGGGUAGCCGGCCUGAGAGGGUGACCGGCCACAUUGGGACUGAGAUACGGCCCAGACUCCUACGGGAGGCAGCAGUGGGGAAUAUUGCACAAUGGGCGGAAGCCUGAUGCAGCAACGCCGCGUGCGGGAUGACGGCCUUCGGGUUGUAAACCGCUUUCGCCUGUGACGAAGCGUGAGUGACGGUAAUGGGUAAAGAAGCACCGGCUAACUACGUG